GUGGGGAAUCUUGCGCAAUGGGCGAAAGCCUGACGCAGCCAUGCCGCGUGAAUGAUGAAGGUCUUAGGAUUGUAAAAUUCUUUCACCGGGGACGAUAAUGACGGUACCCGGAGAAGAAGCCCCGGCUAACUUCGUGCCAGCAGCCGCGGUAAUACGAAGGGGGCUAGCGUUGCUCGGAAUUACUGGGCGUAAAGGGCGCGUAGGCGGAUCGUUAAGUCAGGGGUGAAAUCCCAGAGCUCAACUCUGGAACUGCCCUUGAUACGGGCGAUCUUGAGUGUGAGAGAGGUAUGUGGAACUCCGAGUGUAGAGGUGAAAUUCGUAGAUAUUCGGAAGAACACCAGUGGCGAAGGCGACAUACUGGCUCAUUACUGACGCUGAGGCGCGAAAGCGUGGGGAGCAAACAGGAUUAGAAACCCGGGUAGUCC
rnacentral:rRNA from 1 species